GAGUGGAACAAAUGCUGCUUUUUCCAAUAAAACCUUAAUCACAGUGAUUGAUGCAAAGGAACUUUUAAAGCCGAACGUAGAAUAUUUUGUCACGGUAUCAAAGGAUCUUGACGGCUGCAUAUACAUUGUCAGUGCACGGGAAUGGAAGAACCUUAACGACUUUCAAAGGGGUUGGCUGAAGAACAAUAUAUAUGCCAACAAUUGCGGAGACUUAAACAGGUGCUUCAAAGAUAUCCCCGAGGAAUCUGAUCCCACUUUCGAGUGUUACGACAGAUUUUCGUUCUGUUCCUCAAGUGACAGAAAGCUGGUAGGAAAAAAGAGAGAUUUAAACAGAUGUAUUAAAAGA